rnacentral:misc_RNA from 1 species
AAGAAUUUAAAGAGUGCACUUCAUUGUGGCUCGACAUUUUCUACCAUUCACCCUAGUGCACCGUAAUACCUUUUUUUAUUAGACUCUACAAAGUUAAUGAAUGUAACACGUUUUUAUAAAGGAAUA